GAGGAUUUCCAAACCGAAGUGGUUCGUCUGAAAAAGUUGGAAUUUACAGAAUAGGUGACGGGUAACAGGUCUGUGGACGAAACAAACAUCCUCACCUUCAAACUGGUAAAGUUCAACUUCUACUACUAACAGUCCAGACAUGCUUGAAACUUUUUAUUUCUCAAGACCCCAUCAGCAGUGCGAUAGAAGAACGUCUGUUAUCCAAAUGCAAUCAGGGAACCAGUUCAGGUAAGACAAACUUGUUGUGACCUUGAACUUGAAGAUGCAGAGCUUUUCUGAAUGAAAACUUGACAGUACGGCGGUAGCCUGUUGUUGAAAUUAUUUCAAUAUGGUCCUAUAUGGUAAACAUUUAGUUAAAACAAGUGUGAGAGUAUAAUUUACGUUUAAAGAGCUAGGUUUUUUGUUUUGUUUCUUUUUUUUGGGGGGGGGGGGGAUAAGGGUAGGUCACUACAGUGCAGUGUAGUGGUAAGAGUGGUGUUUUUUUUGCACGGAAUAAAAAUGAAAUAAGACAUAUGUUUAUGUUGAACGUUUUCUGUCAUGAACGUUGCACGAAAAAUAAAUGCUUUGGUUUGAACCUUUUUCUGACUGAGAAAUUGCUGCCUCCUUGUAUGGGGGUCUCAUUGGGGGGUUCCGAUCCCGGAUCCCGCUUACUGUUUUGUCAGAUUCCCGUAUCCCGCUUACACUAUGUACAUAAGCAAUUCUCAUUUUUUUGUCAUUUCCCGGGUCCCGUAAGACCUAAUUUCCCGUUUUCACGCCACAAUAAUUUGACUUUCACGUGUCAUGCUUACAAAAAAUCGGCAAUCUCGC
rnacentral:lncRNA from 1 species